rnacentral:rRNA from 1 species
AUAUGAUCAAGCUAACAAGGGCACACGGUGGACGCCUAGGCAGUCAGAGGCGAAGAAGGACGUGGGCAGCUGCGAUAAGCUUCGGGGAGCCGCUAACAGGCUGUGAUCCGGAGAUCUCCGAAUGGGAAAACCCCCUGGCGACGAGCCAGGAACCUGGCAACAGGUGGCCAACGCAGGGAACUGAAACAUCUAAGUACCUGCAGGAAAAGAAAGAAACCUCGAUUCCCCUAGUAGCGGCGAGCGAAGAGGGAAUAGCCCAAACCGAGGGACGCAAGUCCCGAGGGGUUGUAGGGCCCGCAAUAUCCGAAGGGAUCGUAGUCGAACGGCAUGGAAAGGCCGGCCAAAGAGGGUGACAGCCCCGUAAGCAAAACGUGAACGUAGGUAGUGGGUACCUGAGUAUCGCAGGACACGUGAAAUCCGGCGAGAAUCUACGGGGACCAUCCCGUAAGGCUAAAUACUCCUGACUGACCGAUAGUGAACGAGUACCGCGAGGGAAAGGUGAAAAGCACCCCGGUGAGGGGAGUGAAAUAGGUCCUGAAACCGUGUGUCUACAAGCAGUUGAAGCACUAUGCCGCAAGGCAGUGCGACAGCGUACCUUUUGCAUAAUGGGCCUGCGAGUUACGUUUCGUGGCGAGACUAAGCCGAUAGGUGGAGUCGAAGGGAAACCGAGUCCUCACAGGGCGCCUAGUCGCGGGACGUAGACCCGAAACCUUAGCGAUCUAUCCAUGUCCAGGAUGAAGGCGGGGUAAAACCCGCUGGAGGUCCGAACCCACCAUAGUUGAAAAUAUGGGGGAUGAGGUGUGGAUAGGAGUGAAAGGCUAAUCAAGCUGGGAGAUAGCUGGUUCUCCCCGAAAUAUAUUGAGGUAUAGCCUCGGACGAAUGCCGCCGGAGGUAGAGCACUGAAUGGGCUAGGG